GUCCACGCCGUAAACGAUGAGUGCUAGGUGCUGUGGGUAUUGACCCCCGCGGUGCCGCAGCCAACGCGUUAAGCACUCCGCCUGGGGAGUACGGCCGCAAGGCUAAAAACUCAAAGGAAUUGACGGGGGCCCGCACAAGCGGUGGAGCAUGUGGUUCAAUUCGACGCAACGCGCAGAACCUUACCGGGUUAAAUCCACUCAAACCUUCCAGAGAUGGAGGGGUGCCUUCGGGAAUGAGUGAGAAGUGCUGCAUGGCUGUCGU
rnacentral:rRNA from 1 species